CAGUGACGUCAUUCCACUCGUCCCGGUUUGGGCGCCGCCAUGUUUUUUACUGGCAAGACAAUGUGCGCUCGAGCAAGGUUUUUCCGCAUGCGUAUUGUGAGCGGCGUGCGGAGACAGUAGCCAGGAGAGGUUUAUCGCAUCGGAAUCUGAGAGGGUUCAAAGGAAGCUCGAUUAACAAUAACUCAGCAGGGUGACACGAUGGCUCAAUGAUUGGCACUGCUGUCUCAGAGCACCAUGGAUCUGGGUUUGAUUCCAGCCUCAGUGACUGCAUGGAUGUUACAGGACCAAAAUCCUGGAUUUCCCUCCUUCGUAGCACUGUACCUACAGCAAAUGGACUGAAGAGGUUCAAGAAUACAGCUCACCACCAAUUAGGGAUGAGCCAUAAUAACUGGCCUAGUUAUGCUGACAUCCAGUGAACAAAUUGGAAAAAAAAAUACGGCUGUGAAUGGUGGUAGGCAAUGAUAAGCACACUAAAGGAGAAGUCUCCACUCUCAAUAACUGGGAGGUCCACCACAUUAAUUCAGAAGACAAAGCUGAAGCAUUAGCAAGCAUCUUUAGCCAGAGGUGCUCAGCAGAUGAUCAAUCUUGACCUUCACUUGGGCAUCCCAGUAUCACAGAUGCUAGUGAUAUCAAGAAUGUAUUGAAUAAUACAUGGCUAUUGGUUUUGAAACAUUUUGAAGACUUAUGCUACAUACCUAAUCAUGUCCUUAACCAAGCAGUCCCAGUACAGUUAGAACACUGGCAUUUAGCUGAGAAUGUAGAAAGGGGCCUAAAUAUGUCCUGUGUGCAAAAUGUACCUUAGCCACAGGCUUCACUGCAAGGUUUUCUCAGAAUAAUGACUUAGGUCAAACAAUGUACAGCUGCUUUAUCAAUGAUCUUCACUGUAAGCUCCGAUGUGGGGAUGUUUAUUGUGCACUCAAUGAGCAGUGAUUAACGCUGAAACCACUUCAAUGCCAGGCAGUGCCCAUCUCUUAAUAAGAAAAAAUCUGAUAUUCAGUCGUGUUGCUGAAUCCUGAAAUAUCAAAUUUUGGCUGUUAGCAUUCACCAGAACGCUGCAGAUGCUAGAAAUCAGCCAUAUAAAUACUAUGUACACAACAGCGAGUUAGAGGUUGGGAAUUUUUUAGUGAGUAACUCACCUUCUUCCACCUUAAAUCCUGUCUACUAUCUACCAGGUACAAAUCAGGAGUGAGAUGUAAUACUUUCUACAUGCCUGGAUGAGUGUAAUUCCAAUAACACUCCAGAUAGUCACUAUCCAUCAGCCCACUUGCUUGCCACCACAUCUAACAGUUCCAAUAUUCACGCCCUUCACCACUGAUGCACAGUGAAAUACCACAUGCAACACACCCCUACAAGCCAUACAACAUCCUGACUUGGAAAUGCAUUGCUGUUCCUUGACAGUCACUUCCAAAAUUGUGGAAAUUGUUUUCUCACAGAAUUGAGAGUGUACUUAACCACUUAGAAUGCAUCAGUUCAAGAGGAAGGUCAUCUCUGUCUAAGGGCAAUCAAGAAUCAACAGUGGCGCCCACAUCCUGUGAAUUUUAAGAAGUUGUCUCAGAUGUACACUUUAAAAUUGAACAUCUCUGAAUUAACUAAAUAACUGAACUGAACACAUUGACAAGUUGUCCAAUGUUUAAGCAAAAACAGCACCUAUGGAGAAAGAAAAAAGCUAACAUUUCAGGAAUAGCUAUUCACCAUCACCCAUUAUGACAAAGUAGUCUAGAUGAAACACUAAUUACUAUAUUUCUCCACAGAUGCUACCUGAUGUGCUGACCGAUUCAGUGUUCUGUGUGUUUGUUUCAGAUUUCUAGCAUCUGCAGCAUUUUUGUUUGGCCAACAUUGACAACUCUGAGAAAAAAGUUCUGGUUAAAUUGCCCCUUACCCAUCCCACCUUGUCAAAACUGACAAUUGAAAGGCUGCUGAUGUGGACAGUUGAAUAAGUUCCUUCAGAACACUCCUAACUUAACAGCGCUGCAUGUAGGACUGGUUUGUGCUUGUUGGUUAAACCAUAAUGUCAUACUUGUGUGAUCGUUUGCUUUCUCACACAACUAUAUCAUUCUCAUCCCUGUAAUCAUUUAAUAGAUUAAAGCAAAUUGUGUCAAAAUAUUUUUCUUUUGUGGGCCUGUUUGAUGUCCACUAGCAUUGCAGGCAAUGUUUCAUCUUGUGGAAGAAUCCAGAAGCAGAACAUAUAAUCUGAGUAACGAGUCACUCCGUAAGGACAGUGAAGAGGGAGACAGCAGUGUUUCCAGCACCCACUCAGUUUCAAAGCUUGGCAUGAGACUGAGGAAUACUAUGUUCAAGCUUCUUUCUUUACUCAGAGGCGAAUAAGUCUUUGGAAUUCUUUACUAAACAGUUGUAACAGUCCUCUGCCAUAAAGUAUGUUCAAGGCUGAGUUGGAAAGAUGUUUAAUGUAAAGGAAUCAAGGGUUAUGGGGAUAAGGCAGGAGCCUAUGCAUCAGAAGAAAUUAUAAUUAAGAGAGAUGACAAACAGGAUGCUAACCUGCUCCAUGAUCCUAUAAAGGCCAAAACUAUCCUAGUAUCUCUGCUUGUCCUGAUCAUCAAGCUAACCUUCACCAGUUUUUGCUUUCUUCAGAUUAAAUAUUCUGGAUUGGGGAUGCCAAUAGAGUGUGAAAUUUUCCAGAUUCAAUGAGAAGUAACAGUCUUGGAAGUUAUUAAUGCAGAAAAGACAUUGGGUGUGAAAGACAAGCAAUAUAUGCAAUAAGAUCCAUCUCCAAUCAGGAUGAAAGGAUGGUCUGAAUCAUUAAGGACAUACCUGUUGCUAUUAGAGAGUACCCUAUCCAGCACUGAAGGGAUCGCCAAAUUACUUAGAAAGGAACCAAUAUCAUUGUUCUCAAGGAGAUGAGAAAGAAUGAUGCUCAAGCAUACUCUUGCAAACAGUCAAGAAAUUGAAUCUAAUUUGAGGGAGGCAAUGAAAGUGCUCUUCUGGCAACAAAACUAAUGAUCACAUCACAUAUUAAAAUGCUUCUAACGAAUACCAAACCAAGCAAGCUAAAGAAUCUCUCAGGACUCAUAACACCCAGACUGUACAUGGAUGAUGCUUGGAGUUGACUUUACUCUUGCAGGAAGUGAUGAUCUUUAAACCACUGAUUACCAACUAUGAGAAGUGAGAGCAGCUGACAAUACAGCUACCAGUGAGAAUGUGGAAUGCCUGAACACAGACACAGACAUUGUGAUGAGUAACAAUAACCUUAACUCAUUAAUGAAGAAUUCAGCUGUUUUACAAAUAACUGAGAAAUUCAACACCAUACAUCAUUUCCAUACUAUCAACAGUUAAAUGUGAAUGUAAAGGCAGUGAAAAUCACCAGAGAUACCAAAAUAAUUGAGUACAUUUCUCUGUCCUCUGACUGAUGGAUAUUAUAAUCCGCUACAAUAGACUGUACAGUUACAAAGCUUUCUUUCAAUGUCCUGUGGAUUCCUCCACCUGAGCCACCAUCUACACCACCAGCUCACUCCCAGCGGCUGAUGCUUUGGAAACACUCCUGUUAAAAACAGAGGUCUUGUAUCUUCAGGCUUGUCAGAUGUGGCGCACUACAGCCUGACUUAUGGAAACCCCUAUAUUUGCCCUCAUAAAUAGCAGCAGCUCCUCUUGCUCCCUUGUGCUCUGUUAGUUACCCAAGUACAUUUUCCUCUGAGUCGAAGAAUGUGGUGCUGGAAAAUCAGUCAAGGACUCUGCUAAGUAGUUCACAAAUCAAUAAAUCUGUGCAUUAUUUUUCAUAUCGACUGGAUGCUACACUGCUACUACAACUCUCACUUUUGUGACAUCCUUUCAUUGUCACUACAUUACCUAUGUACGUGACUUCAGUGCAUCUUUUUCCUUGUUCCAAUUCAGGUUCCGCCAGUGAGCUCUCUCCAGCAGUGUCACUAGAUUCUGAGGGUGAGUAUCAUUCCAUCAAACAGCUUGACUUUACCAUCAAAGGUUUCAUUUUUGGCUCAACAUCUUGAGUCACUUUUCACAUGUCUGUGAAGCACUGAUGUCUAGCUGACACGUCACAGUCACUUGAUGCUCUCCUCUGUUGUUCUUUGCAUGAGCCUGGAUGAUCAUGUAGUCACUGCACAGACAUUGGUCGGUGAUCUUGUGAUCCAUCACACUUUUUGUGUUCAGGACCAAGAGGAGGGACUUUUCCCCUAUGGGCAGCUCAAAAUGAUGGAUUUAUAAAGGUUUACAAAAAAUGGACAAUAAGUUAGGCAUAUUGGGAAAUUGAGAGAAGCCUUGACCAAAGUGGUUGUGCUAGUAAACAUGCUGCAGAAUCCAGACAGGCUGCAGCUACAGACAGGCAACAUGUAAUUAACCCAACAGCUGCAGACAAUACAAUAUGCAGUUGAAUUUGUAUUGAAUGAAUCAACCUGAAUGCCACCCCCAGGACAAUCAGAACUUUUGAGUUGUUUACCAGACAAAAGGGUGGCUCACAUCCUUAUUUAGAGAGGGCUACGUGACCUAUGAGCACUGAACAUCUCCAUGAAUGGAUGUCCAAGGACCACCCUGCGAUUGACAUGUCAACGCCUGGUUCAAUCUGAUCGAUCUGUUGGAAGACACUAAAGGCCCUCCCAAAAGAGUGCGAACAACUAUGAAGUUUAAGAAUCUGUGCAACACCAUCCUCAGCAUCAGUAACUUGAAACCAACCACUGUGAAGAGAAGACACCCCUGGGACCACAGGGUGAAGAUGAUCAGAUGAUCAUCUCGUGGAUCAAGACCAAGAUCUAGUGUCAUAGUGUAUAAUUAUCCAGAGUUAAGUUAAAGCCCAAGGUAUUUGAUUAGAUUUAUAGUGUAUUUUGUUAUUAUUAUAUUAAUUGUGCUAAAUAAA